GAAGUGCUCGAAAGAGAGCCAGAACACAGGUGCUGCAUGGCCGUCGUCAGCUCGUGUCGUGAGAUGUUGGGUUAAGUCCCGCAACGAGCGCAACCCUUGUCAUUAGUUGCUACGAAAGGGCACUCUAAUGAGACUGCCGGUGACAAACCGGAGGAAGGUGGGGAUGACGUCAGGUCAUCAUGGCCCUUAUGGGUAGGGCUACACACGUCAUACAAUGGCCGGGACAGAGGGCUGCCAACCCGCGAGGGGGAGCUAAUCCCAGAAACCCGGUCGUAGUCCGGAUCGUAGUCUGCAACUCGACUGCGUGAAGUCGGAAUCGCUAGUAAUCGCGGAUCAGCUUGCCGCGGUGAAUACGUUGCCGGAACUAGUACACACCG
rnacentral:rRNA from 1 species